GGUUCCAUGGUCUAGCGGUCAGGACGCUUGACUGUCUCUCAAGUGGCGCGGGUUCAAGUCCCGCUGGAACCGCCA
rnacentral:tRNA from 1 species